GAGUGGUGGAGCUGGUCAUUGCAGUGCAAGUUGCUCAUUAGUCUUCCAUGAGUGAUGGAGAUGGUCAUUGCAAUGCAACUUGUUUGUCUUAGCUGGCUGAUGGAUAUGGUCUCUGCAGUGCAAUUUGUUUAUAGUAAAUCCAAGUCCUUCCAUGACAAUUUUUUCUUCCCUCUUGAAUUGCGAUCACUAGUCCAAAAUCAAACUCCAAGCAGAUGGAAUAGGCAGUCCUUGUAAACAUAGUCACUUUUGACGAGCUGAAAGUUACAAUGGUGAAGCAACACGUAGCCUGUGUUGGCACCUAAUUAGUGCAUAUAUUUGUCCGAUGCAGAUCUUGGGUACUACAUGGUCUUCCUCAAAUCAU
rnacentral:lncRNA from 1 species